GACGAACGCUGGCGGCGUGCUUAACACAUGCAAGUCGUACGGUAAGGCCCUUUCGGGGGUACACGAGUGGCGAACGAGUGAGUAACACGUGAGUAACCUGCCCACAACUUUGGGAUAACGCUAGGAAACUGGUGCUAAUACUGGAUAUGUGCUCCUGCUGCAUGGUGGGGGUUGGAAAGCUCCGGCGGUUGUGGAUGGACUCGCGGCCUAUCAGCUUGUUGGUGGGGUAGUGGCCUACCAAGGCGGCGACGGGUAGCCGGCCUGAGAGGGUGACCGGCCACAUUGGGACUGAGAUACGGCCCAGACUCCUACGGGAGGCAGCAGUGGGGAAUAUUGCACAAGGGGCGCAAGCCUGAUGCAGCAACGCCGCGUGCGGGAUGACGGCCUUCGGGUUGUAAACCGCUUUCAGCAGGGACGAAGCUUUUUGUGACGGUACCUGCAGAAGAAGCACCGGCUAACUACGUG
rnacentral:rRNA from 1 species